UGUGUCUAUAUAACUAUGAGAGUCAGAGAGCGUGUCUCUGUACAGUCAGAGGUUUUUGUACGACGCUUCAAUCAGUUUGUAUCACUGUGGUGGACUUUUGGUGGAGGAACCAGACUGGAGUUUGGAAGUGAUGCCUCGCCCUUGCUGACAGUGCUGUCCCCCUCCGUGAAGGAGCUGCAGCAGGGGAAGGCCACACUCAUGUGUGUGGCCAACAAGGGCUUCCCUUCAGACUGGACUCUGUCCUGGGAGGUGGUCGGCAGCAGCAGCUGGGAAGAGAGCAGGAGCCCCGGGGUGCUGCAGAAGGACGGCCUCUACAGCUGGAGCAGCACCCUGAGGCUCUCUGCAGACCAGUGGGAGAAGGUGACCUGUCAGGCCAAGAGAGGAUCCAAGGAUCCAGUCUUAGAGACUUUCAGGAGAGACCAGUGCUCCCAGUCCUGAACUGAAAGACUUACAUAACUGCUCUUUUCAUUGCUUUUUAUAAAUUCUUUCAAAAGUUUCUUGACAUCUUUUAUACGUUUUUGAACUCAUUUUUCUUCCAUCGUUGCAUUUAUAAAGGCUUAAAUAAAAACACUGAACCUCUUCCUCA